rnacentral:rRNA from 1 species
AUUGAACGCUGGCGGCAGGCCUAACACAUGCAAGUCGAGCGAGCGGCGGACGGGUGAGUAAUGUAUGGGGACUGCCCGUGAGAGGGGGCUAACUACAGGAAACGGUAGCUAAUAACGCAUACUAUUGGAUAACGCCUAUGGGAUUAGCUGGUAGGUGGGGUAAUGGCUAACCUAGGCGACGAUCCCUAGCUGGUCUGAGAGGAUGAUCAGCCACACUGGAACUGAGACACGGCCCAGACUCCUACGGAGGCAGCAGUGGGGAAUAUUGCACAAUGGGCGCAAGCCUGAUGCAGCCAGGCCGCGUGUAUGAAGAAGGCCCUAGGGUUGUAAAGUACUUUCAGUCGGGAGGCGUUACCGACAGAAGAAGCACCGGCUAACUCCGUGCCAGCAGCCGCGGUAAUUC